GCAGGCUAAAACCUUUUAGAGAUACAGACCAGCAAAAGAGCAGAACACUCCAGACACCUAGGCAAGAGAAGCCACCUGAGAAACUGCAUUGAAGAGCUGCUUGAAAGCUAGCAAUUGUAACAGCAGCAGCCAUCCACCCCAAGAUUCCCAGGUUGCCUUGGCAGUAGCUGUUUUUGGCACCCCACCUGCAAGAGGCCUCCACGGCAGCCCAGCAGGGCUACCAUCUCCUACCUGAGGAUCUGGUUUACCUCUGGCUGAAACAGAAGUGAACAGCCCAGCUGCCAACAGCCCACCUAGGGACAACGCUCUCAAAAAGACUCGUCAGAGAAGGAAGGACCAUUUGUGAUAUUCAGAGGGAAUUUAAAGAAGCUUCUGGAUUGGCUCGUUUUUGGCUUGUUUUGAAAGGCAGUGCAGCUUUAUUAUCUUGUGAGACUUGGCUUACUCAUUGGAGUGAAAGGAAGGUGCACUGGAGUGAAAGAAAAACAGAUCAGAAGCAACUAAAAGCUAAAAAUCAGAAGAAAGAAGGCAGAAGUAACAGUAGCAGCAACACCAGGUUUUGACAGAUCAGAAAGACCCUUUCAGAGGGAGUCAAGACAUCAGAAGUAAGCCUAAUAAUUUUUAGCCUUCAAUUGAAGCAUGUAUUUGUAUGCAUAUGCCUGAGUUAAUAAAACUAGAUCUCCAUGUGUGUAGGUCUCUGUUUAAUGCAGACUGCUGUUAGCAAGGCAUGUGACUGGCCAUUGCAUACAGAAUGUAACCAAUCAAAACUUUAUUAAUUGUAUAGUAUCAUAGUAUUGGUUAUUUGAAUAUUAUAAUAUUGAAUAUUUGAAUAUGUAUGUGUUGAUAGAGCUUGCUGGUAUUCUAAUUCAUGCUGUUAUGUUUAGUUUAUUCUUUCAAUAUAUGCAUUAGACUUAUUGUAUUAGGGAAUAUUGUGUUAAAUAAAGAUUUUGUUUUAGAAGAAA